UAACCUUUUAGGAGCCAACCGUCUAAGGUGGGACAGAUGAUUAGGGUGAAGUCGUAACAAGGUAGCCGUAGGAGAACCUGCGGCUGGAUCACCUCCUUUCUAAGGAA
rnacentral:rRNA from 1 species